UAUUAAGGGGAGGAAAAGAAAUUAUCUAUGAUUCCUCUAGUAAGGGCGACUGAAGCAGGAAAAGUCCACCGUGUGAAUCGAUUUUUUAUCGAGUUGUGGUCUGAAGAAGCAUUGUCAGUCGAACUUCCGAGCUAAGUUUCUUGGAAAAGAACAGCAGAGAGGGUGACACUCCCGUCCUUGCUUGGAAGGUACGACUAUGGCACAUGCCUUCAACGAGUCGAGUUGCUUGGGAUUGCAGCUCAAAGUGCGUGGUAAACUCCAUGUAAGACUAAAUAUUGGUGGGAAACCGAUAGCGUACAAGUACUGUGAAGGAAAGAUGCAAAGAACUUUGAAAAGAGAGUUAAAGAGUACCUGAAAUUGCUGAAAGGGAAGCGAAUGGAAACAGUGUGCUUUCGUAUCAUUCUUCUCUUAUCACUUGUGGUGAGAGCGCUGUGAUGCGAUAUCGCUCAACAUGGGUUUGAAUCGGGACAUAUAGCUAUUCAGGAGGUAUGUCGUUUGACAGAAUACUGUUUAGUGUUGUUCUGGUUUGGACUGAGGCUAGUCGUUUGCUCGUGAUGUUGAGGAAAUGUUUCUAUUUACCCCGUCUUGAAACACGGACCAAGGAGUCUAACAUAUAUGUGAGUAUCUGAGUGGCAAACUCAUAUGCGUAAUGAAAGUAACAGUGGUUGGACCUUCUGGGGCACAAUCCGCCGGCCACAAUCCUUCGGGAGAAAGGUCUGAGUGUGAACAUACAUGUUGGGACCCGAAAGAUGGUGAACUAUGCCUGGGUAGGGUGAAGCCACC
rnacentral:rRNA from 1 species